rnacentral:rRNA from 1 species
UUGAACGCUGGCGGCAUGCUUUACACAUGCAAGUCGAACGGCAGCACGGGGGCAACCCUGGUGGCGAGUGGCGAACGGGUGAGUAAUACAUUGGAACGUGUCCUGUAGUGGGGGAUAACCCACCGAAAGGUGAGCUAAUACCGCAUACGCCCUGAGGGGGAAAGCAGGGGAUCUUCGGACCUUGUGCGAAUGGAGCGGCCGAUGUCAGAUUAGCUAGUUGGUGGGGUAAAGGCCCACCAAGGCGACGAUCUGUAGCGGGUCUGAGAGGAUGAUCCGCCACACUGGGACUGAGACACGGCCCAGACUCCUACGGGAGGCAGCAGUGGGGAAUUUUGGACAAUGGGCGCAAGCCUGAUCCAGCCAUGCCGCGUGCGGGACGAAGGCCUUCGGGUUGUAAACCGCUUUCAGCCGGAAAGAAAUCGUCAAGGCUAAUAUCCUUGAUGGAUGACGGUACCGGAAGAAGAAGCACCGGCUAACUACGU